rnacentral:lncRNA from 1 species
GGCUGCGGUCUCCGAAAGCUCGGCCCAAGCCCGCCCCGCCGAAAUGCACAGUCCCUUAUAGGUGGUCCCGCGGGCUGCGAACCAAAAGGUGCACCAAUCGACUUCUAAGCGCUGUGUGCUGCUCCAUAACACUUAUUGACGCUGCAUGCUGCUCCAGGAGACCAUGACGCUUCAUCUACGUGUUAAAGCUGUACAAUUCAGGCUUUUAUACUACAUAUCUAACUUCAUAUUGUUCUUGUAGUCAAUUUCAGUUCAUAUCAGUUCUUGAAGUCAUGUACACACAAAC